CCAAGGAGUCUAACAUGUGCGCGAGUCGUCGGGUCUUGAAUAGGCCCGCAGGCGAAAUGAAAGUGAAGGGUGACCUUGUCGUCGCCUGCGUUGGGAUCCCCGGACCACAGCGUCCGGGGCGCACCAACGGCCCGUCCCGUCCGCGACGUCGGUGGGACGGAGCGAGAGCGUACACGUUGGGACCCGAAAGAUGGUGAACUAUGCCUGGGCAGGACGAGGCCAGAGGAAACUCUGGUGGAGGUCCGCAGCGAUUCUGACGUGCAAAUCGAUCGUCAGACCUGGGUAUAGGGGCGAAAGACUAAUCGAACCGUCUAGUAGCUGGUUCCCUCCGAAGUUUCCCUCAGGAUAGCUGGCGCUCGAGGGAGUCAGUCUCAUCCGGUAAAGCGAAUGAUUAGAGGCCUUGGGGCCGAAACGACCUCAACCUAUUCUCAAACUUUCAAUGGGUGAGAAGUCCGGUUUACAUGACUGAAGCCCGGACAAUUCUCAGGAUGCGAGUGCCCAGUGGGCCACUUUU
rnacentral:rRNA from 1 species